AGUGAACGCUGGCGGUAGGCCUAACACAUGCAAGUCGAACGGCAGCACAGUAAGAGCUUGCUCUUACGGGUGGCGAGUGGCGGACGGGUGAGGAAUACAUCGGAAUCUACUUUUUCGUGGGGGAUAACGAAGGGAAACUUACGCUAAUACCGCAUACGACCUACGGGUGAAAGCAGGGGAUCUUCGGCCUUUGCGCGAUUGAAUGAGCCGAUGUCGGAUUAGCUAGUUGGCGGGGUAAAGGCCCACCAAGGCGACGAUCCGUAGCUGGUCUGAGAGGAUGAUCAGCCACACUGGAACUGAGACACGGUCCAGACUCCUACGGGAGGCAGCAGUGGGGAAUAUUGGACAAUGGGCGCAAGCCUGAUCCAGCCAUACCGCGUGGGUGAAGAAGGCCUUCGGGUUGUAAAGCCCUUUUGUUGGGAAAGAAAAGCAGCAGGUUAAUACCCCGCUGUUCUGACGGUACCCAAAGAAUAAGCACCGGCUAACUUCGUG
rnacentral:rRNA from 1 species